CGGUUGUUGAGGGAAAUAGAAAGGCAAAGGAAAGACAUUGAGCUCAAGUGUUGAAUGAAAAAAGCAUGAGAAAAGAAAGAAAAGAAAAGAAAAAGCAUGAAAGUGAGCUCAAUGUAAAAGAAAGAAAAAGGGAAAGUUGAGAAUGAGUGAUAUUGGUAAAAAGGGAGUUUGUGCUUGAACUUUGAUUAUGUGAAUAACUCUCUUAACUCAAGGAUUUUGUGAUAUGAAAAACCAAUGUUUAUUGUUAGCCCGACCACAUUAUAAGCCUUGAAAAAGUCCUUGUGAUGGCAUUUGUGUGUAAAGAUGUUGAUUGUAUUAGAUGUAUGUCAAUUUUUUAUUCAUGUGACAGGUGAAUAGUAGAAAGAAG
rnacentral:lncRNA from 1 species